GCAUGGUUCGAAAUUGAAAGGCGGCUUCGGCUGUCACUUAUGGAUGGACCCGCGUCGCAUUAGCUAGUUGGUGAGGUAACGGCUCACCAAGGCAACGAUGCGUAGCCGACCUGAGAGGGUAUCGGCCACACUGGGACUGAGACACGGCCCAGACUCCUACGGGAGGCAGCAGUAGGGAAUCUUCCGCAAUGGACGAAAGUCUGACGGAGCAACGCCGCGUGAGUGAUGAAGGCUUUCGGGUCGUAAAACUCUGUUGUUAGGGAAGAACAA
rnacentral:rRNA from 1 species